rnacentral:rRNA from 1 species
AGUGAACGCUGGCGGUAGGCCUAACACAUGCCAGUCGAACGGCAGCACAGUAAGAGCUUGCUCUUACGGGUGGCGAGUGGCGGACGGGUGAGGAAUACAUCGGAAUCUACUUUUUCGUGGGGGAUAACGUAGGGAAACUUACGCUAAUACCGCAUACGACCUACGGGUGAAAGCAGGGGAUCUUCGGACCUUGCACGAUUGAAUGAGCCGAUGUCGGAUUAGCUAGUUGGCGGGGUAAAGGCCCACCAAGGCGACGAUCCGUAGCUGGUCUGAGAGGAUGAUCAGCCACACUGGAACUGAGACACGGUCCAGACUCCUACGGGAGGCAGCAGUGGGGAAUAUUGGACAAUGGGCGCAAGCCUGAUCCAGCCAUACCGCGUGGGUGAAGAAGGCCUUCGGGUUGUAAAGCCCUUUUGUUGGGAAAGAAAAGCAGCAGGUUAAUACCCCGCUGUUCUGACGGUACCCAAAGAAUAAGCACCGGCUAACUUCGUG